CCUUGAAAUACCACCCUUUAAUGUUUGAUGUUCUAACGUUGACCCGUAAUCCGGGUUGCGGACAGUGUCUGGUGGGUAGUUUGACUGGGGCGGUCUCCUCCUAAAGAGUAACGGAGGAGCACGAAGGUUGGCUAAUCCUGGUCGGACAUCAGGAGGUUAGUGCAAUGGCAUAAGCCAGCUUGACUGCGAGCGUGACGGCGCGAGCAGGUGCGAAAGCAGGUCAUAGUGAUCCGGUGGUUCUGAAUGGAAGGGCCAUCGCUCAACGGAUAAAAGGUACUCCGGGGAUAACAGGCUGAUACCGCCCAAGAGUUCAUAUCGACGGCGGUGUUUGGCACCUCGAUGUCGGCUCAUCACAUCCUGGGGCUGAAGUAGGUCCCAAGGGUAUGGCUGUUCGCCAUUUAAAGUGGUACGCGAGCUGGGUUUAGAACGUCGUGAGACAGUUCGGUCCCUAUCUGCCGUGGGCGCUGGAGAACUGAGGGGGGCUGCUCCUAGUACGAGAGGACCGGAGUGGACGCAUCACUGGUGUUCGGGUUGUCAUGCCAAUGGCACUGCCCGGUAGCUAAAUGCGGAAGAGAUAAGUGCUGAAAGCAUCUAAGCACGAAACUUGCCCCGAGAUGAGUUCUCCCUGACUCCUUGAGAGUCCUGAAGGAACGUUGAAGACGACGACGUUGAUAGGCCGGGUGUGUAAGCGCAGCGAUGCGUUGAGCUAACCGGUACUAAUGAACCGUGAGGCUUAACCUU
rnacentral:rRNA from 1 species